rnacentral:misc_RNA from 1 species
UUUCCGUAGGUGAACCUGCGGAAGGAUCAUUACAGAGUUCAUGCCCUCACGGGUAGAUCUCCCACCCUUGAAUAUUUAUACCUUAGUUGCUUUGGCAGGCCGUGGAAACACCAUGGGCUCCGGCUUAUGCGUGCCUGCCAGAGGAAACAAACUCUGUUUUUGUGAUGUCUGAGUACUAUAUAAUAGUUAAAACUUUCAACAACGGAUCUCUUGGUUCUG